UGGGGAAUUUUGGACAAUGGGGGCAACCCUGAUCCAGCCAUGCCGCGUGUGUGAAGAAGGCCUUCGGGUUGUAAAGCACUUUCGGCCGGAACGAAAUCGCGCGGAUUAACACUCCGCGUGGAUGACGGUACCGGAAGAAGAAGCACCGGCUAACUACGUGCCAGCAGCCGCGGUAAUACGUAGGGUGCGAGCGUUAAUCGGAAUUACUGGGCGUAAAGUGUGCGCAGGUGGCCGCGCAAGUCGAGUGUGAAAUCCCCGGGCUUAACUUGGGAAUUGCGCUCGAAACUACGUGGCUAGAGUGUGGCAGAGGAAGGUGGAAUUCCACGUGUAGCGGUGAAAUGCGUAGAGAUGUGGAGGAACACCGAUGGCGAAGGCAGCCUUCUGGGCCAACACUGACGCUCAUGCACGAAAGCGUGGGGAGCAAACAGG
rnacentral:rRNA from 1 species